UAAGUCCCCGCAACGAGCGCAACCCUUGUCUUCUGUUGCCAUCGGGUUAUGCCGGGCACUCUGAAGAGACUGCCGGUGACAAACCGGAGGAAGGUGGGGAUGACGUCAAGUCAGCAUGGCCUUUAUGUCUGGGGCCACACACGUGCUACAAUGGCAGGUACAAACCGUCGCGAGACCGCAAGGUGGAGCUAAUCGGAGAAAGCCUGUCUCAGUUCGGAUUGUAGGCUGCAACUCGCCUGCAUGAAGUUGGAAUCGCUAGUAAUCGCGGAUCAGCACGCCGCGGUGAAUACGUUCCCGGGCCUUGUACACACCGCCCGUCACAUCACGAAAGCUGGCUGUACUAGAAGUAGCUGCGCCAACCCGCAAGGGAGGCAGGUUCCUAAGGU
rnacentral:rRNA from 1 species